GCCUGGCUGGCUCAGUUGGAAGAGCAUGUGACUCUUGAUCUCGGGGAUUGUAGGUUUGAGUCCCAUGCUGGGUG
rnacentral:tRNA from 1 species